rnacentral:rRNA from 1 species
AACGAACGCUGGCGGCAUGCCUAACACAUGCAAGUCGAGCGAGAUCUUCGGGUCUAGUGGCGCACGGGUGCGUAACGCGUGGGAAUCUGCCCUUUGGUUCGGAAUAACAGUUGGAAACGACUGCUAAUACCGGAUGAUGGCGAAAGUCCAAAGAUUUAUCGCCAGAGGAUGAGCCCGCGUAGGAUUAGCUAGUUGGUGUGGUAAAGGCGCACCAAGGCGACGAUCCUUAGCUGGUCUGAGAGGAUGAUCAGCCACACUGGGACUGUGACACGGCCCAGACUCCUACGGGAGGCAGCAGUGGGGAAUAUUGGACAACGGGCGAAAGCCUGAUCCAGCAAUGCCGCGUGAGUGAUGAAGGCCUUAGGGUUGUAAAGCUCUUUUACCCGGGAUGAUAAUGACAGUACCGGGAGAAUAAGCUCCGGCUAACUCCGUGCCAGCAGCCGCCGUAA